UCAUUGCUUUGGCUGAAAUGUAGACUUUGUUGUUCAGAAAAAUAGUGUCUCCCUGAUCUCUUAACUAAAAAGUAUAUAGAGUUGUCAUUUUUCUUUCCUUAAACCCUAGGGUUUUUUCCCUUUGCUGCUGAGUCAAGCCGUGUAUAUCUGCCUCUGUUCUGGUUUCCCAAGAUCAUGUUUCGGUACUGAGGGGACCAAGAUGCAGCUUCGCAAUGCAAUUUCAGGACGGAUGACAGGCGAGAGCAGUUCUGCUCCUGUCAGAGAAUGUGGCUCGUGCAAGCUGUAGGCUGCCAAUUGAGUUCUCGCUUGUCUUCCAAACCGAGUUCCUGCCCUCCUUCCCUGAAUUCGCACUGUUCAGCCACCCGAGACUGAGCAGUAGCAGGUCUGUGAUGCCCUUAGAUGCCUGGGGCUGCACGUGCCCACCCUCCGCCGGCAGCCACGGGUAACCUGUUGAACCCCUUUCCCAACGGGGAUCGGGGAUUGCAGUUCUUCCCUGUGAACAAGGAAUUCCCAGUAAGUGCAGGUCAUAAGCUUGCGUUGAUUAAGUCCCU
rnacentral:ncRNA from 1 species